UAAUGUGCUGUCAAGCUGCAGUGACUUUAGAUCAUCUAACAGAUUUGGGACAAAAUGUGACUAUAAACUGUGAUCUGGACUCAAAUGAAGUUUAUUGGAUUUUACUGAAACAAUCAGAUUCUCAUACAGUGAUACUGCGCUCAUUCUCAAACCCAACAUCUGCCCAUUACUUUAAUAAAACAUUUAAAAACAAAUAUUCAGUACAAUCUAAACAUGAUCUGGUGAUAUAUAAUAUUACUGUAGAUGAGUUAGGAGUUUAUUACUGUAUGAACACAGAUACACCUCCAAAACUCAGUACCAGCACAAGACUGCACAUCAUUGAACCGACUCAACCGAGUGAAUUCUGUACAACAAUCACACAACAUCCAACAAUACAUCAGAGGAACAAUCAGAUAACUGUAAUUGAGCAAAACUCAAAAGAAUACACAACUGUCAUCCUCAAUUCUGGUCUGAUGAUUGUUUUGCUGUUCAUUACAGGUCUGGUGACGGCUGUUUGUGCUAUUAAUAAUAGUUGUUGGAUCAGAUCUGGAAACAGUUCAGGACAACUUUAUAAAACUGAUUUUAUAAAACAGCAACAACAUCAAGACCCAAACCAACUACAGUUUGUGACGGUGGUUUACCAAGCGGUGUAAAAACUCAACGCAGCCAACACAACAGUACCUAUGCUAUAAGGAUGCCAAAAACAUAAACAAAAUAAUAUUCUUGAUUUUAUACACUUACAAUUAAUAUCAAGUAUGAAUUAUAUAACCUAAAUUAGCUAGAAAACAUCUUGGAAACCUAACAAUUUGAUUUCACUCUGCACACACUGAACUCAUCUUUUUGAG